AGUUACCGCUCUAUAACCCUUUGUGAACAUACCUAUAACUGUUGCUUCGGCGGGUAGGGUCCCCGUGACCCUCCCGGCCUCCCGCCCCCGGGCGGGUCGGCGCCCGCCGGAGGAUAACCAAACUCUGAUUUAACGACGUUUCUUCUGAGUGGUACAAGCAAAUAAUCAAAACUUUUAACAACGGAUCUCUUGGUUCUGGCAUCGAUGAAGAACGCAGCGAAAUGCGAUAAGUAAUGUGAAUUGCAGAAUUCAGUGAAUCAUCGAAUCUUUGAACGCACAUUGCGCCCGCCAGCAUUCUGGCGGGCAUGCCUGUUCGAGCGUCAUUUCAACCCUCAAGCUCUGCUUGGUGUUGGGGCCCUACAGCUGAUGUAGGCCCUCAAAGGUAGUGGCGGACCCUCCCGGAGCCUCCUUUGCGUAGUAACUUUACGUCUCGCACUGGGAUCCGGAGGGACUCUUGCCGUAAAACCCCCCAAUUUUCCAAAGGUUGACCUCGGAUCAGGUAGGAAUACCCGCUGAACUUAA
rnacentral:rRNA from 1 species